rnacentral:rRNA from 1 species
GGCGGUUAGAUAAGUNUGAAGUUAAAGGCUGUGGCUUAACCAUAGUAUGCUUUGGAAACUGUUUAACUUGAGUGCAGAAGGGGAGAGUGGAAUUCCAUGUGUAGCGGUGAAAUGCGUAGAUAUAUGGAGGAACACCGGUGGCGAAAGCGGCUCUNUGGUCUGUAACUGACGCUGAGGCUCGAAAGCGUGGGGAGCAAACAGGAUUAGGUACCCUGGUAGUCCACGCCGUAAACGAUGAGUGCUAGGUGUUAGGCCCUUUCCGGGGCUUAGUGCCGCAGCUAACGCAUUAAGCACUCCGCCUGGGGAGUACGACCGCAAGGUUGAAACUCAAAGGAAUUGACGGGGGCCCGCACAAGCGGUGGAGCAUGUGGUUUAAUUCGAAGCAACGCGAAGAACCUUACCAGGUCUUGACAUCCCUCUGACCGCUCUAGAGAUAGAGUUUUCCUUCGGGACAGAGGUGACAGGUGGUGCAUGGUUGUCGUCAGCUCGUGUCGUGAGAUGUUGGGUNNNNNNNNNNNNNCGAGCGCAACCCCUAUUGUUAGUUGCCAUCAUUGAGAUGGGCACUCUAGCGAGACUGCCGGUAAUAAACNGGAGGAAGGUGGGGAUGACGUCAAAUCAUCAUGCCCCUUAUGACCUGGGCUACACACGUGCUACAAUGGCUGGUACAACGAGUCGCAAGCCGGUGACGGCAAGCUAAUCUCUGAAAGCCAGUCUCAGUUCGGAUUGUAGGCUGCAACUCGCCUACAUGAAGUCGGAAUCGCUAGUAAUCGCGGAUCAGCACGCCGCGGUGAAUACGUUCCCGGGCCU